rnacentral:rRNA from 1 species
AAUGGGGGCAACCCUGAUCCAGCAAUGCCGCGUGGGUGAUGAAGGCCUUCGGGUUGUAAAGCCCUUUCGGCGGGGACGAUGAUGACGGUACCCGCAGAAGAAGCCCCGGCUAACUUCGUGCCAGCAGCCGCGGUAAUACGAAGGGGGCUAGCGUUGUUCGGAAUGACUGGGCGUAAAGGGCGCGUAGGCGGCGAUUUUAGUCAGGCGUGAAAGCCCUGGGCUCAACCUAGGAACUGCGUUUGAUACUGGAUCGCUUGAGUGUGGGAGAGGAUGGUGGAAUUCCCAGUGUAGAGGUGAAAUUCGUAGAUAUUGGGAAGAACACCGGUGGCGAAGGCGGCCAUCUGGACCACUACUGACGCUGAGGCGCGAAAGCGUGGGGAGCAAA